rnacentral:rRNA from 1 species
UGGUUACAAUAGCAGAGAGGAUACACCUGUUCCCAUUCCGAACACAGAAGUUAAGCUCUCUAGCGCUGAUGGUACUUGGUGGGAAAC